GCCUGUUCUACCUUUAAAACCACACUAGAAACAAUUUUAAGUAAUGCUGUUUCAUUUUAGAGAUAAGGGGCAUAACCAGCUGAAAGAUUACUGUGCCUAAGUCUAAUUGGACUUAAGCAUUUAACUGAACCAUUUUUCUGGGCUGUAGCCUAUGUUUUAACACUAUCAACAAAUGUUUUAGAAUGGGUCUGUGUCAUUUUGAUCAAAGCAAAUGGUAGUGACUACCGUAGUAUUGGGUACACUUGGAAUUGCAUUUAGUGAUUCAUGAGUGGACUUACCCUUCUCUCUACCCUGCACCCCUCUCAGAAAUCUGAUACAGAGGGUUGGGAGUGCAGGGGGCACUGAUGUUCUGUUGCACAAGCAGGUGUUUGCUUGUACAGCAUUGAACACAUCCCCUUCUUUAUACAAGACAAAGGUACACGUGGGAUACUAGAAACCUAAGUGGACUUGAAGAAAAUACUUUGCUACUGUUUUUGUCUGAUGGAAUUCUGCUAUCAGGUUAUAUAACUAACUGUUCUUCCUUUGCUCUGUAACAUUGAUGAUGAGAAUGAGGAAAAAUCGCUUUUAAUUUCAAAAGCUUUCUAUAAGCGAUCUUUGUUAUAAAAUAUAAUUUACAAUAAUUGAAUAAUCGUGAGAACGUCACAAAAAUCCAUGUCUUAAUGCAAUACUUCUGUCAUUUGUUGAACCAGUUUCCUCUUCGUUAUAUGUAAACUGAAAAGCAGAGAUUAAAUCAGUUUUAGACCUGGCAUGUAAACAGGGGCAAAGCCAUGGCUUGAAAUCUUGGUUUACUUAAAUCCCCAGUUUCCUGGAUUGAACAUAAGUGGAAACGGUAGUUUAACAAACCCAGAGGGAAUGCCUUCUGAGGAGAGUGGCAGCACACUACUUAGUACUGGUUGAAAUAAAUUGGUUUAUCAGACGCAAGGUUGUUAUAUCUGAAAUGUGCCUGAGCACAAACAAAUACUAGUAAUACUUCUGGUAUUAGAGAGAUCCAUCCCUAGCCUGGUGGCACAGUCCACCCCCGAAGACAUUGAUAAAAUAAAUUGCCGUGACUAGGUAACAUUGAUUGCUUGAGUCCUCUUUCACAUCCUGGUUACUGCUACGAGACUACUGCAAGAUGUGUGUGUGUAGAACAGUGAACCAAACUUACUACACACUAUUACUCAAAGGAAAUUGACUACAAAAUCUUCAUUUUAAAAAAGUUAUUAAAAUAAAGUUAUUCCCAGCUGAA